rnacentral:rRNA from 1 species
UACGUAGGUGGCAAGCGUUGUCCGGAAUUAUUGGGCGUAAAGGGCUCGUAGGCGGUUUGUCGCGUCGGGAGUGAAAUCCACUGGCUUAACUGGUGGCUUGCUUUCGAUACGGGCAGACUAGAGGCAUUCAGGGGAGAACGGAAUUCCUGGUGUAGCGGUGAAAUGCGCAGAUAUCAGGAGGAACACCGGUGGCGAAGGCGGUUCUCUGGGAAUGUUCUGACGCUGAGGAGCGAAAGUGUGGGGAGCGAACAGG